UACGUAGGGUGCAAGCGUUAAUCGGAAUUACUGGGCGUAAAGCGUGCGCAGGCGGUGAUGUAAGACAGUUGUGAAAUCCCCGGGCUCAACCUGGGAACUGCAUCUGUGACUGCAUCGCUGGAGUACGGCAGAGGGGGAUGGAAUUCCGCGUGUAGCAGUGAAAUGCGUAGAUAUGCGGAGGAACACCGAUGGCGAAGGCAAUCCCCUGGACCUGUACUGACGCUCAUGCACGAAAGCGUGGGGAGCAAACAGG
rnacentral:rRNA from 1 species